UACGAAGGGUGCAAGCGUUAAUCGGAAUUACUGGGCGUAAAGCGUGCGUAGGUGGUUCGUUAAGUCUGUUGUGAAGGCCCUGGGCUCAACCUGGGAAUGGCGAUGGAUACUGGCGAGCUAGAGUACGGUAGAGGAUGGUGGAAUUCCCGGUGUAGCGGUGAAAUGCGUAGAGAUCGGGAGGAACAUCAGUGGCGAAGGCGGCCAUCUGGACCAGUACUGACGCUGAGGCACGAAAGCGUGGGGAGCAAACAGG
rnacentral:rRNA from 1 species